AAUCCAUGCAUUGGGCACUUCCAAAUUAAAUCUUUAAAUCGUUCCCAAGCUUCAUAUAGUAUUUUAUCCUCUAAUUGCUGAAAAAAUGCGAUGUCAUUUCUAAGCUU
rnacentral:snoRNA from 1 species